GAUUAAGUUAUUAAGGGCGCACGGUGGAUGCCUUGGCACUAGAAGCCGAUGAAGGACGUUACUAACGACGAUAUGCUUUGGGGAGCUGUAAGUAAGCUUUGAUCCAGAGAUUUCCGAAUGGGGAAACCCAGCAUGAGUUAUGUCAUGUUAUCGAUAUGUGAAUACAUAGCAUAUCAGAAGGCACACCCGGAGAACUGAAACAUCUUAGUACCCGGAGGAAGAGAAAGAAAAUUCGAUUCCCUUAGUAGCGGCGAGCGAAACGGGAAGAGCCCAAACCAACAAGCUUGCUUGUUGGGGUUGUAGGACACUCUAUACGGAGUUACAAAGGACGACAUUAGACGAAUCAUCUGGAAAGAUGAAUCAAAGAAGGUAAUAAUCCUGUAGUCGAAAAUGUUGUCUCUCUUGAGUGGAUCCUGAGUACGACGGAGCACGUGAAAUUCCGUCGGAAUCUGGGAGGACCAUCUCCUAAGGCUAAAUACUCUCUAGUGACCGAUAGUGAACCAGUACCGUGAGGGAAAGGUGAAAAGCACCCCGGAAGGGGAGUGAAAUAGAACCUGAAACCGUGUGCUUACAAGUAGUCAGAGCCCGUUAAUGGGUGAUGGCGUGCCUUUUGUAGAAUGAACCGGCGAGUUACGAUUUGAUGCAAGGUUAAGCAGUAAAUGUGGAGCCGUAGCGAAAGCGAGUCUGAAUAGGGCGUUUAGUAUUUGGUCGUAGACCCGAAACCAGGUGAUCUACCCUUGGUCAGGUUGAAGUUCAGGUAACACUGAAUGGAGGACCGAACCGACUUACGUUGAAAAGUGAGCGGAUGAACUGAGGGUAGCGGAGAAAUUCCAAUCGAACCUGGAGAUAGCUGGUUCUCUCCGAAAUAGCUUUAGGGCUAGCCUCAAGUGAUGAUUAUUGGAGGUAGAGCACUGUUUGGACGAGGGGCCCCUCUCGGGUUACCGAAUUCAGACAAACUCCGAAUGCCAAUUAAUUUAACUUGGGAGUCAGAACAUGGGUGAUAAGGUCCGUGUUCGAAAGGGAAACAGCCCAGACCACCAGCUAAGGUCCCAAAAUAUAUGUUAAGUGGAAAAGGAUGUGGCGUUGCCCAGACAACUAGGAUGUUGGCUUAGAAGCAGCCAUCAUUUAAAGAGUGCGUAAUAGCUCACUAGUCGAGUGACACUGCGCCGAAAAUGUACCGGGGCUAAACAUAUUACCGAAGCUGUGGAUUGUCCUUUGGACAAUGGUAGGAGAGCGUUCUAAGGGCGUUGAAGCAUGAUCGUAAGGACAUGUGGAGCGCUUAGAAGUGAGAAUGCCGGUGUGAGUAGCGAAAGACGGGUGAGAAUCCCGUCCACCGAUUGACUAAGGUUUCCAGAGGAAGGCUCGUCCGCUCUGGGUUAGUCGGGUCCUAAGCUGAGGCCGACAGGCGUAGGCGAUGGAUAACAGGUUGAUAUUCCUGUACCACCUAUAAUCGUUUUAAUCGAUGGGGGGACGCAGUAGGAUAGGCGAAGCGUGCGAUUGGAUUGCACGUCUAAGCAGUAAGGCUGAGUAUUAGGCAAAUCCGGUACUCGUUAAGGCUGAGCUGUGAUGGGGAGAAGACAUUGAGUCUUCGAGUCGUUGAUUUCACACUGCCGAGAAAAGCCUCUAGAUAGAAAAUAGGUGCCCGUACCGCAAACCGACACAGGUAGUCAAGAUGAGAAUUCUAAGGUGAGCGAGCGAACUCUCGUUAAGGAACUCGGCAAAAUGACCCCGUAACUUCGGGAGAAGGGGUGCUCUUUAGGGUUAACGCCCAGAAGAGCCGCAGUGAAUAGGCCCAAGCGACUGUUUAUCAAAAACACAGGUCUCUGCUAAACCGUAAGGUGAUG
rnacentral:rRNA from 1 species